rnacentral:rRNA from 1 species
AAUGAACGCUGGCGGCGCGCCUAAUACAUGCAAGUCGAGCGAGAAGACGUAGCAAUACGUUUGUAAAGCGGCGAACGGGUGAGGAAUACAUGGGUAACCUACCCUCGAGUGGGGAAUAACUAGCCGAAAGGUUAGCUAAUACCGCGUACGCUUCUUGGACUUCGGUUCAGGGAGGAAAGCGAUGCCGAGGGUAUCGCGCUCUUGGAUGGGCUCAUGUCCUAUCAGCUUGNGGUGAGGUAACGGCUCACCAAGGCUUCGACGGGUAGCUGGUCUGAGAGGACGAUCAGCCACACUGGCACUGCGACACGGGCCAGACUCCUACGGGAGGCAGCAGUAAGGAAUAUUGCGCAAUGGGCGAAAGCCUGACGCAGCGACGCCGCGGUGGGGGA